GGGCCCGUAGCUUAGUUGGUAGAGCGCCGCUUUUGCACAGCGGAGGUCAGCGGUUCGAAUCCGCUCGGGUCCACCU
rnacentral:tRNA from 1 species